rnacentral:lncRNA from 1 species
CCUGACGAUCCCCGAGUCUGAGCUAGCUUCGAUAAACUAUAAAACAGUGGAGGAAUGCACAAAGUAAGCUUAGGAAGCUUAGGAGGCUAUAAGCAAAUAAAUCAUUUCAAUGAUAUUUAUAAUUCAAUUCAACUAGGUCAAGUUCAAAUAUAUCUCGAACGCAUAUACAUUUAACUAACUCAUAUAAAUUCAUAUUACUACAUUAAGUACUAAACUUACCUUUAUAUUUCAUAAACAUAUAGCUCUACACAUACCUGAACCAUUCAGCUCAAAUUCACAUUUGGAUUUGUUAAGAACACACAGAAAUCAUAUAAAGCUCGUACAAUGCCAUAUCCUGGAUAUGGUAUUACAUGUUAACACAUAUCGAUGCCACUGUCCGAGAUAGGGUCUUAUACGAAUCAUAUACGAUGCCAAUGUCCCAGACAUGGUCUUACACGAAAUCACACCUCCGAAGUACUAAUAUCAUGUCAUCAAUAUCAAAUACACUUUCUAUGGUUCAUUCAUAACUAUCGACUUCGUAAUUAAAUUAUGUCAUACAUGAAACCAGUCAUCCAAUGGUCAAAUCAAUUUAACAAUAUACAUAUUCAUAUACUAAUCAAAUUCGACAAUGUAUAAUCAUAUAAAAAUCAAUUUGGCAAUGUAGAACCAUAUAUGAAUCAAGUUCGGCAAUGUAUAAUCAUAUCCAAGUCAAAUUCGGCAAUGUAUAACCAUAUACGAAUUAAUUUGGGAACUUAUAUCCAUAUACUAUUCAAUUUCAACAAUAUAUAACCAUAUACAAGUUAAUUUCAGUAAAGUAUAAUUGUAAUACCCAAUUUUAAGCCCGGGACCAAAUACAUCAGGCCCAAUACAUCAGGCCCACCUAGACCUAACCCUAAUGGCCCAAACUCAUAACAGUCAAAGAAACCCUAAGCAGAUUGAAGCAAAUCAGCGCUGCAGCAACUUCCCACGUUUCGGCAACCGUUUCCACCCAUGUUCAGCAAUCCCCCACACCCACCAUGCACAUUCUUUACCUGCAACAAACCACAAACAGUGGCAAUGACCGAAUAUACAGGAACAAAUUGUAAAAGAUUGGUUUUUUUUUUGGUUUUCUCUGUAAAGAUUGGCUAUAAAAAGCCAAUCGAUUUUUUAUAAAAGGGGGGACGAAUAUUGUAUAAAAAAUUAUUGAAAAAACAAAGAAUCAAAUAGUUUUUGGAAAGUGAGGUAUUUUCUUCCUUUUUUUCUUUCUCUUUCAUUUUUUGGUCUUACUUGUUGAAUGUAAAGAAAUAACAAAGGAGAAGAAGAGAAACUUACCGUUGAGAGUGUCGAAAUACUCUUUCACUUCGUUUAAAUCGAAGUUGGAGGAGGUUGGUGUGUGAGAGAGCAGGAGAGGGUUUGUUGCGGCUGUUGU